rnacentral:rRNA from 1 species
UACGUAGGGGGCAAGCGUUGUCCGGAUUUAUUGGGCGUAAAGAGCGUGUAGGCGGCCAGACAGGUCAGCUGUGAAAACUCGAGGCUCAACCUCGAGACGUCGGUUGAAACCGUCUGGCUAGAGUCCGGAAGAGGAGAGGUGGAAUUCCCGGUGUAGCGGUGAAAUGCGCAGAUAUCGGGAAGAACACCCGUGGCGAAGGCGGCUCUCUGGGACGGUACUGACGCUGAGACGCGAAAGCGUGGGGAGCGAACGAGG